UGCUGUCAGCACAGAGCUCAAGGCAGGAAUUGAAGACACAAGCCACAAGGUCAUGACCUGAGCAGGGCUCGAGUCAGACGCUUAACUGACUGAGCCACCCAGGCAUUCCUGUCUCUCUUAAUCCAUACAGAAAACUCUAGUGUGUGUGUGGGGGGGGGGGGGGGGGGGCGGGCAAUGUCUCCCCAGAUUUGGCCAUUAACAAGAAGACACUAGAACACUGGACAGUGUCAAAUUCAGAGUCCCAGAAGGUGGCCUCUCAUGGGCUCAGUAAAAGGUUGGUUCAAGAAACGGCGGGCUUUAUGAUUAACAGGAAGGACCUCAACUGCAAGGCAGUCUAUGCCGGUUACUCAGCCUGUGAUACCUGUGGCUCGCUCUUCCCCUUCCUGCUUUAUCGACUUCCAAAGAUUUUACUGGGAGAUGAAGCUAUGGCAGGGACCGUUCGGCUGGGGAUGGAAGCCUCUCAGCCAGACCACUAGCAGGCUCCCUCAGCGACAACAACAACAGAAAGAACUCACGAUGAAGGCCACCAAGUUCUGAUAAAUAAAAAUUACAUACAGUCA